AUACGGAGGAUCCGAGCGUUAUCCGGAUUUAUUGGGUUUAAAGGGUGCGCAGGCGGCCAUUUAAGUCAGCGGUUAAAUCGUGGGGCUCAACCCCAUUCUGCCGUUGAUACUGGGUGGCUUGAGUACAGUAGAGGCAGGCCGAAUUCGUGGUGUAUCGGGGAAAUGCUUAGAUAUCACGAAGAACUCCGAUUGCGAAGGCAGCCUGCUGGACUGUAACUGACGCUGAUGCUCGAAAGGGUGGGUAUCAAACAGGAUUAGAUACCCUGGUAGUCCACACAGUAAACGAUGAAUACUCGCUGUUUGCGAUAUACAGUAAGCGGCCAAGCGAAAGCGUUAAGUAUUCCACCUGGGGAGUACGCCGGCAACGGUGAAACUCAAAUGAAUUGGCGGGG
rnacentral:rRNA from 1 species